GAUGAACGCUGGCGGCGUGCCUAAUACAUGCAAGUCGAGCGAACAGAUGAGGAGCUUGCUCCUCUGACGUUAGCGGCGGACGGGUGAGUAACAUGUGGAUAACCUACCUAUAAGACUGGGAUAACUUCGGGAAACCGGAGCUAAUACCGGAUAAUAUAUUGAACCGCAUGGUUCAAUAGUGAAAGACGGUUUUGCUGUCACUUAUAGAUGGAUCCGCGCCGCAUUAGCUAGUUGGUAAGGUAACGGCUUACCAAGGCAACGAUGCGUAGCCGACCUGAGAGGGUGAUCGGCCACACUGGAACUGAGACACGGUCCAGACUCCUACGGGAGGCAGCAGUAGGGAAUCUUCCGCAAUGGGCGAAAGCCUGACGGAGCAACGCCGCGUGAGUGAUGAAGGUCUUCGGAUCGUAAAACUCUGUUAUUAGGGAAGAACAAAUGUGUAAGUAACUAUGCACGUCUUGACGGUACCUAAUCAGAAAGCCGCGGCUAACUACGUG
rnacentral:rRNA from 1 species